CAUUAAUGUAUUUUUAAAAUGUUGUCCUGGUUUUGUAACUAAAAUGGUUUGGCAGUGAGCGAUUCUUGUUAGGGGAAGAUGCAUAGUAAAGGAUGGUCCACCUAUUAUUUCACUCUUGUUAUGUUGGUGUAUAUCUGGUUUGAUAUUAUCGUUUAAUGGUUUGAGUUUGUGUAGUUUUAGUUAAGCCAAGUCUAUGUGCUGCUUAUGGGAGUUUUUGUGUGUUACAUUAAUAAGGGUGUUGUUGUAAUAUGAUAUUAUUUAGGACUUAAUAGUAAUGUUUAAAUUAGUUUGUUGAUGUGAAAUGAGUUUAGCUC
rnacentral:rRNA from 1 species